UACGGGAGUGGCAAGCGUUAUCCGGAAUUAUUGGGCGUAAAGCGUCCGCAGGCGGUCUUGUAAGUCUGUUGUUAAAGCGUGGAGCUUAACUCCAUUUCAGCAAUGGAAACUGUAAGACUAGAGUGUGGUAGGGGCAGAGGGAAUUCCCGGUGUAGCGGUGAAAUGCGUAGAUAUCGGGAAGAACACCAGUGGCGAAGGCGCUCUGCUGGGCCAUAACUGACGCUCAUGGACGAAAGCUAGGGGAGCGAAAGGGAUUAGAUACCCCUGUAGUCCUGGCCGUAAACGAUGAACACUAGGUGUCGGGGGAAUCGACCCCCUCGGUGUCGUAGCCAACGCGUUAAGUGUUCCGCCUGGGGAGUACGCACGCAAGUGUGAAACUCAAAGGAAUUGACGGGGGCCCGCACAAGCGGUGGAGUAUGUGGUUUAAUUCGAUGCAACGCGAAGAACCUUACCAGGGUUUGACAUCCUGCGAAUCUCUUGGAAACGAGAGAGUGCCUUCGGGAACGCAGUGACAGGUGGUGCAUGGCUGUCGUCAGCUCGUGUCGUGAGAUGUUGGGUUAAGUCCCGCAACGAGCGCAACCCACGUCGUUAGUUGCCAGCAUUUAGUUGGGCACUCUAGCGAGACCGCCGGUGAUAAACCGGAGGAAGGUGUGGAUGACGUCAAGUCAUCAUGCCCCUUACAUCCUGGGCUACACACGUACUACAAUGCUACGGACAAAGGGCAGCAAACUCGCGAGAGCUAGCAAAUCCCAUAAACCGUGGCUCAGUUCAGAUCGUAGGCUGCAACUCGCCUACGUGAAGGAGGAAUCGCUAGUAAUCGCAGGUCAGCAUACUGCGGUGAAUACGUUCCCGGGCCU
rnacentral:rRNA from 1 species